UACAUGGGGUGCAAACGUUGCUCGGAAUUAUUGGGCGUAAAGCGCACGUAGGCGGUCCGUUAAGUCAGAUGUGAAAGCCCCCGGCUCAACCGGGGAAGUGCAUCUGAAACUGGCGGGCUAGAGUACGAAAGAGGGUCGCGGAAUUCCCGGUGUAGAGGUGAAAUUCGUAGAUAUCGGGAGGAACACCGGUGGCGAAGGCGGCGACCUGGGUCGAUACUGACGCUGAGAGACGAAAGCUAGGGGAGCAAAUGGG
rnacentral:rRNA from 1 species